rnacentral:lncRNA from 1 species
AUGAUUUUUUGGUUUAACAUUUGGCUACAAAGGUGGAGGUAGAAACCCAAUGUUAUGCAUGUCUCCAGCAAGUGAAGGUCUCUAAAGUGACUUCCAAUAUCGAUGGGAAUGUGUUGGGAAUAUGUUGUUUUCUUGGUUUUCAGUUUUUCUAGCUAAUGUUUAACGAUGUAAGUUGUCCUCCGACCAAGUGACUGGCGAAAAAAACGUUCAGUCUUUGAAGAUUUAUUUCCAAACGUUGUGCGCUUGAGCACAGUCCUUAGAAAUCACACCUCACGAGCAACGCCGAGCAACCGCUUCAUCAAGGCUUGGAAUUGACUCCUAAGGACCGCUUGAGUGCUCAAAGUUUCUUUCUUUAAAAAUGUUUAGCUAACGUUAGCUACCGUUACUUUUAUUUUGGUGUUCUGCAAUAGCUCUAAUUUGCCAAUGUCGAGGUAUAAACGGUACCUCUGGGACCAUAGUGUCUAAGUCAACUAUAAGAUAUCGAUGAAGCGAUGUAAAUAACGUUAGCUAGUUAGCUUGCCUAACCUUAGCCUCUAAUAUCUCUGAAUAAAAUGAUUAUUUGUUGUAGAAGAACUGCACGGAUGCUCAAUUGAACUUGGACCAGUAUGAUGUGGAUGAAAAUAGCCAGGAAACAUUAGACCCACUAGGUUUGCACAGGUUUGCUAGCAGUGCUGAAACAUUAUACCCACUAGGUUUGCGCAGGUUUGUUAGCAGUCCUCUACUUUGUUUCAGGGGAACCUUGUGAAUGCCCAACUAAACUUGGACCAUGAUGAAGGAAUAAAACGUGAGAAGCAGGGGAACAUCAGGAAUACUGGACUAGACUAGGACCACGAUGAAGACAUGGAUGAUGAUGGCCAGGCAACAUUUGAAGAUGAAGACCCCUCAGACGAAAGAGAGCAAGAGGCAUAUGGAAGACCGCUCUUUGACAGAUCAAGCCUUACUGAGAACGAUCGCCUUACGGCAAGGAUAGCUGUGCUGCAAGCCCAGCUUCAGACGCGAUCGUUAGGCAAGGGUAAUUUCAGUGUAGGAAAGGAUGAAACAGCGUCUGUGCCACCAGACCUAAGCCCUAGGACCAUGCCUCAGGACUACCUGGUAUGAUGACUCCUUGCUGUCCCCAGUCCACCUGGCCGUGCUGCUGCUCCAGUUUCAACUGUUCUGCCUGCGGCUAUGGAACCCUGACCUGUUCACCGGACGUGCUUGUUGCACCCUCGACAACUACUAUGAUUAUUAUUAUUUGACCAUGCUGGUCAUUUAUGAACAUUUUAACAUCUUGACCAUGUUCUGUUAUAAUAUCCAC